GGAGCACAUUAUAAUGUCUCCAGAGCCUGACAAUGAAUGCAAGCCUCUCAGUGAUGGAUUAAUCAAUUCAGCAUGCGCUCAAUCUAUCAAUUCAGAGCAGCUCCUCAAAUGCUGCAGUGCAAUUACAAACUGCUUGUCACUGUGUGGAUCACACCAGGAAACAGUACCUAAACCCAGUGGACACACUGCUCUGGCCAGAGACCUUGUUUGGAAACCAGAGGGAGAAAUAUACAUAAAACAGAGAAGUAAGAAGAAUGUUUAAAAUUUCUCCUGAAUGCUGAAGAUGCUGUGGGGGUUUUCUCAGUGGGAGAGAGGGAGUUAAAAGGGAGGCGUUAAUGAGGGAUAAAGGAAGCAGGAAGCCUGGAAAACUGACUUGUCCACGGAGGAGAGGAUAGCUGGCAUGAAUGUUUCCUAGAACACAGCCCUUUUCAUUAAAAAGAUUUUUUUUGCUUCCAAUGAGCGAGGAAUACCUAUCAAUUCACCAGAAGCUGAAGUGCUGUGAUAGCAGAUUUGUCUUGUAAUAGUACUAUGAUAUUGACAUGAAGAAAAUUCGUGAAUGUGUUUGAGAGAGACAAAGUAACAAAGGGGAGAGAUAGAUAAUAUUUUCUUUUAUUUCUGGAUGAAGAUUCCUCUUGAAAAUCCUGCGGAAGUUUCAGAAAGGUGGUUAAUUGAUUCCGGGGUGUUUGUUUUCAACGCGAGGCUCCUCAGACCUCAACUUCGGCAUUCCUGGAAUGCAAUGAUUGAAAACUGGCUGUUACCUCAAACAGAAAGCAUAAACAAGGGCCAAACCAAAGGCAUAGAAAAUAUGUGCUGAAGGAGAUCAGAGGAGAUGGGGAUGGCGUCCAGCUGCAGUGACAUGGAGACUUGCAAUUAUGGAUGUGUGCUGCUUGUUCCUCCUCUGCCUGUGACUGAAUAAACAAGUACAGCAAUCCUGGACUGAGACAGUAUGAUUGCCAGGGGCUCAGAGCCUCCUGGAAUGGCAGUCUGGGUCAU